rnacentral:rRNA from 1 species
GAACGCUGGCGGCAGGCCUAACACAUGCAAGUCGAGGGGCAGCAUAGAUUGCUUGCAAUCUGAUGGCGACCGGCGCACGGGUGAGUAACGCGUAUGCAACCUGCCUUCUACAGGAGGAUAGCCCCCGGAAACGGGGAUUAAUACUCCAUAGUAUUGCGUCAACACAAGUUGAUGUUCUUAAAGCUUCGGCGGUAGAAGAUGGGCAUGCGUCCUAUUAGCUUGUUGGUAAGGUAACGGCUUACCAAGACUUCGAUGAUUAGGGGGCCUGAGAGGGUGAUCCCCCACACUGGUACUGAGA